rnacentral:rRNA from 1 species
GACGGUCUUGCUGUCACUUAUAGAUGGAUCCGCGCUGCAUUAGCUAGUUGGUAAGGUAACGGCUUACCAAGGCAACGAUGCAUAGCCGACCUGAGAGGGUGAUCGGCCACACUGGAACUGAGACACGGUCCAGACUCCUACGGGAGGCAGCAGUAGGGAAUCUUCCGCAAUGGGCGAAAGCCUGACGGAGCAACGCCGCGUGAGUGAUGAAGGUCUUCGGAUCGUAAAACUCUGUUAUUAGGGAAGAACAUAUGUGUAAGUAACUGUGCACAUCUUGACGGUACCUAAUCAGAAAGCCACGGCUAACUACGUGCCAGCAGCCGCGGUAAUACGUAGGUGGCAAGCGUUAUCCGGAAUUAUUGGGCGUAAAGCGCGCGUAGGCGGUUUUUUAAGUCUGAUGUGAAAGCCCACGGCUCAACCGUGGAGGGUCAUUGGAAACUGGAAAACUUGAGUGCAGAAGAGGAAAGUGGAAUUCCAUGUGUAGCGGUGAAAUGCGCAGAGAUAUGGAGGAACACCAGUGGCGAAGGCGACUUUCUGGUCUGUAACUGACGCUGAUGUGCGAAAGCGUGGGGAUCAAACAGGAUUAGAUACCCUGGUAGUCCACGCCGUAAACGA